rnacentral:tRNA from 1 species
GCCCGAGUGGCGGAAUUGGUAGACGCGCUGGAUUCAAAAUCCAGUGUUAGCAAUAACGUGCCGGUUCGACCCCGGCCUCGGGUA